UUGGCACAGCCGCUAUGGAAAGCACCAUGCAGGGACCUCGGAAAACUAAAUAUAGAACUAGCAUGUGCCCAGAAAUCCCACUCUUGGGCGAUGUGGGACAAGACUUGCCUUGAACAAGAUACAGGCACCCAUGGACGUUGACGACAGCGCCGAGUGUCCAGUGCGGCACUCCUCACGCUAGCCAAGACGUGGAAACCACCUAAACGUCCACCGACAGAUGAAUGGGUUAACAAGAGGUGGGAUAUAUACACAAUGCGGUACUCCUCAGCCGUGAAAGGAAGGAAUUAGUGCAUUGCAGCAGAGUGGAUGGAACUAGAGGCGCUCAUCCUAAGCAAAGUCCCUCAGAAAGAGAAACACCAACCCACAUGAUGUCACUUAUAUCUGGACUCUAAAACACAGCACAAAUGAUCCUUUCCACGGAACAGAAACUCAAGGACUUGCAGAAAGACUUGUGCUUGCCAGUGGGGUCAGGGAGGAAGUGGGAUGCACUGGGACUCUGGGCUUUAGGGAUGCAAACAAUUGCAUCUGGACUGGCUAUGCGAUGAGAGCCCACUGGAUCGCACAGGGAUACAAUAUCCAGCCACUCACGAAGGAACGUGAUAGAGGAUAGUGGGAGAAAAUGUAAGCAUGUAUAUGGGUGUGUCUGUGUGCGUGUGUGCACGCGUGUGCGACAGGAUCACUUUCCUGCACAGCAGAAAUUAACAGAAAAAUUUAAACCGAGUGUAAAGGAAAAAAUUAAAAUCAUUUAAGAAAACUUAGAACUUUCCUGGAGGGGUAAUUCUAGGAAAAGUAUGCUAAUGAAGGGAUCUUAAACCCAAAACGUUGAUCUUAAAAACCAAAAAUAGAACACAUGACAAUACUGAAAUCCAACCACUAUCCAUCACAUGACAGUUUUUCUGCAGGCUUCAUUUGGUGCAUGGGCCUUGAGCAAAAAGGAUGUCUGCCCUCCCAAGAGCCUUACAACAAGAGGGACUUACUUCAUGGAGAGAAACACAGAGGGAGCACGGAGUCCUUCUCACCCAGAUGGGCAGCGAGUUUGUACAAUGGUGCCGCACACCAGGCUAAGGAUGAGGGUGAACUGUGAGCUCUUACUUGCAAGGUCGCCUGGGUGUGUGCUACCUAGGGUGGGUGGUCAAGUGUGAGAAUGACAGUGACACUGUCCAAUACAAGCAUACGCCUCGCCGAUUCCCAUCUGCUUUGGCCAUGUUGAAGCAAUGACCGCAGCACUGACAGGGACCUUUUAAAAUGCACAGCAUCGACAGGCCCUCUGGAGACCCUGGAAUUCCCGGGCAUAGACACGGAGCAGGGACCCUCCCGCUCCGUGCUCCCACGAACGACCAAGUCCUGGCUGAGGGAGAGGUGCAGGUCAGGGGUCCAGAGCGUCCCCAUAGGGAACCCACCUGGGUCCCACUUUGGCUUUCCCAUGUAGGAGGUCAAGAGCUUGGGCCAACUCUCUCUGCACCAUCUCCACCUGAGCAACGGGAAAAUUAAGCCAACGUGGGGACAGCAGUGGUGAGGGGCGAAUGCAUGCCUAUAGGGGUGGUACGCAGAGGUGAUGGGAUGUUUCUUAAGGAACGUUGAGCGGUGUAUUUUCUGUAUAAAUAGGAGAGAGCUCAUGAG
ensembl:lncRNA